rnacentral:misc_RNA from 1 species
GAAGUGAUGGACGCAAUUCAAAAUGUAACGGAGGCCAUUAAAAUUGGCCAAACUAAUUGUUGCGAACAAGAGAAACGAGUUCAGAAAGUGACGUUGAUGCUGAUGCUGCUGAAAGUGACGUUGUUGAUGCUGCUGAAAGUGAACAAGAGAAAUGGUGGGAAUGUGAGAUAUGCGAAGGAGCUGUUCUUCUUCAAUUAAACCCAGUUAUCAUAUUUUUUUUUCGAUCUAGGUCUGCAAUUUUUGGCAUCGAAUUUGAUAACUAUGUUGUUGGUGUUCAACGGAAAUUAGUGAUCUUCGUCUCGAUCUGCAAAUUUCAGUUUAUUAUAUAUCCUACACUAACCAAUAUUAAACAUGUAAUUUGAUUUUGAUUUUGUUUUAGAAUUUGAGUUGGUGAUUAAACUUGUUCAAUCCGCAUUUAAGAUUGUACCCU